rnacentral:lncRNA from 1 species
GCAGAUUCGUCCUUUGUUGUUGAAUCCGGUAGAUUUAGAUUCGACUCGGUUUAAUCACUCUGGGGAAGAAGAGUGUCCUAUGAGGAUCUACUGGCCGACGUGCUCAAGAGGGUCCCGCUGCUGCGCACAGCCUUGCGAGAGCACCUGCCGGUCUCACUGGGUUCGGGGGCCGGCGCCUCUGCUCACACGUUGUGAUUUUCCUGCCCCAACAGAAAGUUUUGGAAGCGUUUCCUGGCUACAUCUUGCCAUCGUACUCUGGCGUCUAGUUACAAUGAGGAACCCCCGUCUGAGCCCAAGGGAGCCCAGCUUCGCUCUCUCAACAUCUCUUCCACCACUUCCCGGGGGCUAAGUGGGAAUUCACUCCAGACAGCAGUUCUGGCCCCAUCAGGGCACAACUCGCGUCUGGGCCAGAACUUCAUCUCUUCAUUGCAGAAAGUUAAGGAAAUCGUUGCUCAGCCAGGGAGCAAAGAUUGGCUCUGCAGCUGCUCUUUUAUGGAGCUGUUAACGCAGAGACACCAUUACUUAAAUGUAAUUUUUAGUAUUACAAUUAAAGACUGAUUUGAUUUUAUGAGAUCAUGCAUUUUUAUUUUAUGGACGUUUUUGUAGUUAAAUUCAAUUUAAAAGAUUGUAUUUAAAGUAAGGUAUAAGCACGGAGCGUAUUAAAGUUAUGUAAGCCUGCUUUUGGCGCUCUGAUAGCAAAGCUUCCAGCACUGGAUUACUCUGGUAGCGUCACAUGUUUCCUGCUACAACUACGUACUAGCUCAGGAGAAACGAACUUGGCUUCCUCUGUUUGUGACAGCCCCAAAUCUGUCAAGCCUCACGAAGCUCACUGUCAAUUUUCUGCAGGAAAGAAACACUCCUCUCCUUUCAGCCGACUCUCUGAGGAAGGACUUCCAUGGACCCAGGUGCUCUUUCGCUGGGAUUUCACUCUCUGUGCGACACGGAGCUGUGCCCGUGGGGACCAGCCUGCAGAAUGCCACGAGCUGUGCCCGUGGGGACCAGCCCUCCCAGGGCUGAGGCCAGCUGAUGACCCGGUGCGAUUUUUGAAGGCUUCGUUUCUGACGGCAGAAAAACACGUCAGCGUAUUUGCACGGAAUAGAUUAAGCUGCUGGGAACCACGUCCCCUUCAACCGGACUGACGUGGGACCAAGAAGGGGCUUUGUCCUUGUCACCUGGCCUGUCCUAGGUCACCGGGACAAGCAAGGGAAGCGGCGGACCCUCUUUUAAGCCCCACGUCGCAAAAAUGCGUGAAAUGAACCCAGACUGAAUUAGAUCCUUCCUCCCACGUAUUUUGGCUGAAAGGUCGCUCUUCCUUCUCUCACUCGUGUUUCCUGGGCGCGAAACCUGGU